AUGUUCUCUGUAGCUCUGCUGCUGCUGCUCGAUUCUGUGAAUUGUGUGAAGUGUGAACAGUUGACACAGCCAGCCUCUGUGACUGUGCAGCCAGGUCAGCGUCUGACCAUCACCUGUCAGGUCUCUUAUUCUCUUGGCUACUACACAGCUUGGAUCAGACAGCCUGCAGGGAAAGGACCGGAGUGGAUUGGAAUGAGAGUUGGCUCCAGCACACAUUACAAAGAUUCACUAAAGAACAAGUUCAGUAUCGACUUAGACUCUUCCAGAAACACAGUGACUCUAAACGGACAGAAUGUGCAGCCUGAAGACACUGCUGUGUAUUACUGUGCCAGAGAGCCACAAUGA